rnacentral:rRNA from 1 species
AACGAACGCUGGCGGCAUGCCUAAUACAUGCAAGUCGAACGAGAUCUUCGGAUCUAGUGGCGCACGGGUGCGUAACGCGUGGGAAUCUACCCUUGGGUUCGGAAUAACUUCGGGAAACUGAAGCUAAUACCGGAUGAUGACGUAAGUCCAUAGAUUUAUCGCCCAGGGAUGAGCCCGCGUAGGAUUAGCUAGUUGGUGGGGUAAAGGCCUACCAAGGCGACGAUCCUUAGCUGGUCUGAGAGGAUGAUCAGCCACACUGGGACUGAGACACGGCCCAGACUCCUACGGGAGGCAGCAGUAGGGAAUAUUGGACAAUGGGCGCAAGCCCGAUCCAGCAAUGCCGCGUGAGUGAUGAAGGCCUUAGGGUUGUAAAGCUCUUUUACCCGAGGUGAUAAUGACAGUAUCGGGAGAAUAAGCCCCGGCUAACUCCGUGCCAGCCGCCGCCGUAACAC